GUACCUGUGACCACGCCCAAAUGGACAUGGUCAACCGUACAGCUCAGUUAGGGGCAUGUGAGGACACUCAUCAGUGGACACAAGCUCCUCAUGACAGAGAUGCUGUAUACUCCACCUGGAUCCAUGCUGUUUACCACUUUGAUAAAACAUUCUGGAUCUGGUUGCUUCCUCUCUGCUUCCUGCAGUUGUUGUAACCUGGAGGUCAAUUUUCACAGGACAAACAGAACUGAGCAGGAAACAUGCUACUGUCUUGUUCCAAAAGUCAACAGAAGAUACUCUGUUAGUAUAUUAAUUAGCUUUCUGUUCUCUGUGACAAGAUGUCUGAUGAAACAACCAAAGGAAGGAGAAAUUUAUUCUGCCUCACUGUUUGAGAGUGUCAGUUUUCUGGCAGGAAGGGUAUGGCAUGGCAGAGUGGGCCCACACAUCCAACAAGGAAGAAAGGAAACAACGGGAAUGGGCAUGAACUUGAGGAUAAGUCCAUUCUCUAGGGCUCUUCUCACCUCACUUUUGCUUUACGAGGCCCCUCAGUCUACAGGAUGGUGUGGUGCCGACCACAUCCAGCAAAGGUCUUCCCACCUACAGAAUUGUCUCUGGAUGUGACCUUACAGACACACACGUGAGUAAACUAUACUAGUCUCCUAGUUUUGAACUUUUCAGUAUAAUCAAGUUGGCAAGUUUAGCCAUCAGGGACUGUGGAGAUGGCUUGGUGGGUAAAGUGCUUGUCCCAAAGAGUAAGCAACAGAAUUCAGAUCCUCAAAACCAAUGUAAAAACCAGGUGGGUGUGGCAGCCAGCCUGCAAUGCCAGCAAGCUGGAGGGCGGUAGGAGCAUGCUGGCUAGCUAGAUUAGCCAACACAGCAAGCUCAGGGGUCAAGAAGAGGCCCUCCCUCAGAACAUAAGUGAACAGUCAAGGAAUACACUUCACAUCAACCUCAGGCCUCCACACGCAUGUGUGCAUGCACCCACACACCUACAUAAUGCACACAUACCACACAUACACACACCUAACAAAGAAAGAGAAAAGGUUAGUCACCACCAGUCAACUCGAAAUUAGGUCAACAGUGUGGAUUAUGGUGAUAAAACUCCUCAAUACUAUUCCACAAGAGACACCAAAGCUGCUGCAGAAUAUACUAUUCCUA
rnacentral:lncRNA from 1 species